UACGUAGGGUGCGAGCGUUAAUCGGAAUACUGGGCGUAAAGCGUGCGCAGGCGGUUGGUUAAGUCUGAUGUGAAAGCCCCGGGCUCAACCUGGGAAUGGCAUUGGAAACUGUCCAGCUGGAGUGUGGCAGAGGGGGGUGGAAUUCCGCGUGUAGCAGUGAAAUGCGUAGAGAUGCGGAGGAACACCGAUGGCGAAGGCAGCCCCCUGGGCCAACACUGACGCUCAGGCACGAAAGCGUGGGGAGCAAACAGG
rnacentral:rRNA from 1 species